AGGACGAACGCUGGCGGCGUGCUUAACACAUGCAAGUCGAGCGGAAAGGCCCUUCGGGGUACUCGAGCGGCGAACGGGUGAGUAACACGUGAGUAACCUGCCCCUAGCUCUGGGAUAGCUCCGGGAAACCGGGAUUAAAUACCAGAUACGACCACUUUAGACAUCUGUCGUGGUGGAAAGGAUUCCGGCUAGGGAUGGACUCGCGGCCUAUCAGCUUGUUGGUGGGGUAACGCCUACCAAGGCGACGACGGGUA
rnacentral:rRNA from 1 species